AGUGAACGCUGGCGGUAGGCCUAACACAUGCAAGUCGAACGGCAGCACAGUAAGAGCUUGCUCUUACGGGUGGCGAGUGGCGGACGGGUGAGGAAUACAUCGGAAUCUACUUUUUCGUGGGGGAUAACGUAGGGAAACUUACGCUAAUACCGCAUACGACCUACGGGUGAAAGCAGGGGAUCUUCGGACCUUGCGCGAUUGAAUGAGCCGAUGUCGGAUUAGCUAGUUGGCGGGGUAAAGGCCCACCAAGGCGACGAUCCGUAGCUGGUCUGAGAGGAUGAUCAGCCACACUGGAAGUGAGACACGGUCCAGACUCCUACGGGAGGCAGCAGUGGGGAAUAUUGGACAAUGGGCGCAAGCCUGAUCCAGCCAUACCGCGUGGGUGCAGAAGGCCUUCGGGUUGUAAAGCCCUUUUGUUGGGAAAGAAAAGCAGCAGGUUAAUACCCCGCUGUUCUGACGGUACCCAAAGAAUAAGCACCGGCUAACUUCGUG
rnacentral:rRNA from 1 species